UUGAGCUUCCAUUAAAGAAAGAAAAAAAAAUGGGGCUUGGCGUAGCUAAAGCUCUUGUUCUGCUGCAGGUUUCACUAUUAUGCUUCACUGCUUUUAGCGAUGAAGAGGUAGAAGCUGUGUCGCCUAUCCCAGCUUUGCCACCGAAUCACCACCAUCACCAUCACCACAACCAUGUUCACCCACCGAGUCAUGCCCCUGUUGUCUCUCCCAUGCAUGCUCCAGCUCAUGCACCCGUUCACCCACCAAAGCCGCACCCACACCCACACCCAUCGGUUCAGCCUCCCAUGCACUCUCCAAAACCACACCUACCGGUUAAACCACCAGUUCACCCUCCCGUACACUCUGCACCACCAAAGCCAUUACCACAUCCACACCCACACCCACCAGUUAAACCACCAGCUGAGGCACCGAUCUACCACUUCGAAAGAAGCUUUGUUUCCGUGCAAGGGGUUGUUUAUUGCAAGUCAUGCAAAUAUUCUGGAGUUGAAACUCUCUUGGGAGCUUCACCACUUUCUGGUAAGUCAGUUCUUGACAUUAUUUAUUGAAGUCUUGACUACACAUUGCUCUUAUUUUCCUUUUCUUUUAUGAUUCUGUAUAUGUGAAACUGUUUAAUUUCUUGGAUGUGCAUUUUCAUGGAAAAUGUUCGUUUUUCUUAAAAUUUUAUUUUGAAAGACUUCAUCUUCAUGCAUUGGUUGGUUAAAGAUUGAAAUUUGAGCAAGAAAGAAAGUUGUUUCCUUUUUUCUAGGUGCAUGUAAGACCAAUAGCUUGCUCUCUCUUUUAGGUACAUGAGCUGUUGUCGUAAAUGGAACCCUAUGUUUCACUCCGUGACCAUUUUCAAACUGUAAAAGCAAAAGCAUUGAGAAUCACGUUUGUGCUUUUGACCAGUAAUUACUGACUGACUAUGCUUUAUUUGCAUGUCAAUUUUUGAAAUAUUAUGACAGGUGCAACAGUAAAACUGCAGUGCAAUAAUACAAAAUACCCACUAGAAGCCAAGGCUACAACGGACAAAAAUGGUUACUUCUUCCUUGAAGCACCAAAGAGUAUCACCAACUUCGGGGCCCACAAAUGCAAGGUGUCAUUAGUCUCUGCACCAAACACCGCUUGCAGCAAGCCAACCGACCUCCACGGCGGAGUUAGUGGUGGCUUGUUGAGGCCGGAGAAGAAAUAUAUUUCAAAUAAGCUUCCGUUUGUUCUGUUUACAGUUGGACCAUUUGCCUUUGAA
rnacentral:lncRNA from 1 species